GCCUGGGUGGCUCAGUCAGUCGAGCGUCCGACUUUAGCUCAGGUCAUGAUCUCGCGGGGCAUGGGUUCGAGCCCCGUGUCGGGCU
rnacentral:tRNA from 1 species